ACUCGCUGGAAGCCUGUGGGCAUGGCUGACCUGGUUCCUUCCAGAACAGGUCAAGAAGGUCUAUCACAAAGCCGUUCUGGUUGUCCACCCAGAUAAGGCGACAGGAGAGCCCUAUGAACAAUAUGCCAAAA